GACGAACGCUGGCGGCGUGCUUAACACAUGCAAGUCGAACGGAAAGGCCCUGCUUUUGUGGGGUGCUCGAGUGGCGCACGGGUGAGAAACACGUGAGUAAACUGCCCUUGUCUUUGGGAUAACUUCAGGAAACUGGGGCUAAUACCGGCUAGGAGCUACUGCUGCAUGGUGGGGGUUGGAAAGUCUCGGCGGUUGGGGAUGGACUCGCGGCUUAUCAGCUUGUUGGUGGGGUAGUGGCUUACCAAGGCUUUGACGGGUAGCCGGCCUGAGAGGGUGACCGGCCACAGUGGCACUGAGAUACGGCCCAGACUCCUACGGGAGGCAGCAGUGGGGAAUAUGGCACAAUGGGCGGAGGCCUGAUGCAGCAACGCCGCGUGCGGGAUGACGGCCUUCGGGUUGUAAACCGCUUUCGCCUGUGACGAAGCGUGAGUGACGGUAAUGGGUAAAGAAGCACCGGCUAACUACGG
rnacentral:rRNA from 1 species